rnacentral:rRNA from 1 species
AGCGAACGCUGGCGGCAGGCCUAACACAUGCAAGUCGAACGAACUCUUCGGAGUUAGUGGCGGACGGGUGAGUAACACGUGGGAACGUGCCUUUUGGUUCGGAAUAACUCAGGGAAACUUGUGCUAAUACCGAAUGUGCCCUUCGGGGGAAAGAUUUAUCGCCAUUAGAGCGGCCCGCGUCUGAUUAGCUAGUUGGUGAGGUAACGGCUCACCAAGGCGACGAUCAGUAGCUGGUCUGAGAGGAUGACCAGCCACACUGGGACUGAGACACGGCCCAGACUCCUACGGGAGGCAGCAGUGGGGAAUCUUGCGCAAUGGGCGAAAGCCUGACGCAGCCAUGCCGCGUGAAUGAUGAAGGUCUUAGGAUUGUAAAAUUCUUUCACCGGGGACGAUAAUGACGGUACCCGGAGAAGAAGCCCCGGCUACUUCGUG